UGGGCCCGACGGGGUCGCGGUUGAUUAGUUAGUUGGCAGGGUAAUGGCCUACCAAGACGAUGAUCAAUAGCCGGCCUGAGAGGGCGCACGGCCACACUGGAACUGAAACACGGUCCAGACUCCUACGGGAGGCAGCAGUGGGGAAUUUUGCGCAAUGGGGGAAACCCUGACGCAGCAACGCCGCGUGGAGGAUGAAGUCCCUUGGGAUGUAAACUCCUUUCGAUCGGGAAGAUAAUGACGGUACCGGAAGAAGAAGCCCCGGCUAACUCUGUGCCAGCAGCCGCGGUAAUA
rnacentral:rRNA from 1 species